AGAAGACUUUGAAAGGUUUUUAGUCAUGGUAAUUGUAAAAGAUAGAAAGCUCUCAGGUUGUGGUUCACUUCAUCCUUAAGAAGGAGAGAGUGUAGAAUUCUUGUGAAGGAUUUUCAGCAUAGCAAAAGAUUGAGAAGAUCCUUGAUCAAUUCCUGUGUGGACUAUCAUUGGUGGGCAUCCACUUGGAUGUCUAGUGGAGAUCGUACUAGUAUUAGACUAUCAUCUACUUGGAGGUAUACUUCUCACCUAGUUAUUAUUUAUAUUGUAUUUGAUUGACAUCAAUAAGAUCUAUCUGGGAUUCGAUUUCAG
rnacentral:lncRNA from 1 species